UGCCAGCAGCCGCGGUAAUACUGAAGGUGCAAGCGUUAAUCGGAAUCACUGGGCGUAAAGCGCGUGUAGGCGGGUUAAUAAGUUUAAAGUGAAAUCCAAUGGCUCAACCAUUGAACUGCAUUUGAUACUGCAUCGCUAGAGUAUAGGAGAGGGAAGUGGAAUUUCUGGUGUAGGAGUGAAAUCCGUAGAGAUCAGAAGGAACACCGGUGGCGAAGGCGACUUCCUGGACUAUUACUGACACUGAGGAGCGAAAGCGUGGGGAGCAAACAGGAUUAGAUA
rnacentral:rRNA from 1 species